GACGAACGCUGGCGGCGUGCUUAACACAUGCCAGUCGAACGGGCCCGCCCCUGUUUUUGGGGGUGGGUUGAGUGGCGAACGGGUGAGUAUCACGUGAGUAACCUGCCCCCUGCUCCUGGAUAACUGCUUGAAAGGGCGGCUAAUACGGGGUGUGCCGGCUGGUCCGCAUGGGCCUGGUCGGGAUAGUUUCAUCUUCGGGUGUUUCGGUGGGGGAUGGGCUCGCGGCCUAUCAGCUUGUUGGUGGGGUGAUGGCCCACCAAGGCGGUGACGGGUAGCCGGCCUGAGAGGGUGGGCGGCCACACUGGGACUGAGACACGGCCCAGACUCCUGCGGGAGGCAGCAGUGGGGGGUAUUGCACAAUGGGCGGAAGCCGGAUGCAGCGACGUCGCGUGAGGGAUGGAGGCCUUCGGGUUGUGAACCUCUUUCUCCGGUGGUGAAGGCCCUGUCCGUUGCGGCGGGGUUGACGGUAGCCGGGUAUGAAGCGCCGGCUAACUACGUG
rnacentral:rRNA from 1 species